rnacentral:rRNA from 1 species
AACGAACGCUGGCGGCGUGGAUAAGACAUGCAAGUCGAACGCUCGAUUUUUCCGGGAGCAACUCCGGGGAGGUGGGAGUGGCGCAAGGGUGCGUAACGACGUGGGUAAUUUGCCAGUGAAGUUGGGGAUAAUCCCGCGAAAGCGGGACUAAUACCGGAUGUGGUUGAAGGGUGGCAUCAUUUUUCAACUAAAGUUGGGGACCGCAAGGCCUGACGCUUCAGUGAUAAGCCCGCGGCCUAUCAGCAGUUGGUGGAGGUAACGGCUCACCAAGGCUAAGACGGGUA